UGGCUCAGGAUGAACGCUGGCGGCGUGCCUAACACAUGCAAGUCGAGCGGACCUGAUUGAGUGAUUAGCUUGCUAUGAACUCAUGACUGGUUAGCGGCGGACGGGUGAGUAACGCGUGGGUAACCUGCCUCAUACAGGGGAAUAGCAGUUGGAAACGACUGGUAAUACCGCAUAAGCGCACAGUACCGCAUGGUACAGUGUGAAAAAUUCCGGUGGUAUGAGAUGGACCCGCGUCCGAUUAGCCAGUUGGCGGGGUAACGGCCCACCAAAGCGACGAUCGGUAGCCGGCCUGAGAGGGCGGACGGCCACAUUGGGACUGAGACACGGCCCAGACUCCUACGGGAGGCAGCAGUGGGGAAUA
rnacentral:rRNA from 1 species